rnacentral:lncRNA from 1 species
GGCUUCCAAACACAUCCUCACGUCUCAGAUUCAGGUCCAACACAAAGAACUGAUCAUCAACACUACAGAGAAACAGCAUCUUCAGGAGGCUAAUGACACGUUGAAGGCGGAGGUGAAGACACUGAAAGCAACGCUGGAUGAGAAGGACAGACAAAUGCAACGCUUCAAGGCCCAGAUCCAAGACUGCAGCGUUCGGAAAGAUAACAACAAGUGAGUCAUCUAUGUGUGUGUGUGUAUGUAUGUGUGUUAGGGAUCUGAGGAUAUAUCCUAAAUCGGCUAAAAAUUGAUGCAAAUAAGAGG